AACGCACAUUGCGCCCGCCAGCAUUCUGGCGGGCAUGCCUGUCCGAGCGUCAUUUCAACCCUCAGGCUCCCGCGCCUGGCGUUGGGGAUCGGCCUUCACCGGCCGGCCCCGAAAUACAGUGGCGGCCCCGCCGUAGACCUCCUCUGCGUAGUAGCACACACCUCGCAGCCUGGGAGCGCGGCGGCGGCCACGCCGGAAAACCCCCGACUUCUGAAAGUUGACCUCGGAUCAGGUAGGAAUACCCGCUGAACUUAA
rnacentral:misc_RNA from 1 species